GACUUGUUAGCCUAGUUGGUAAAGGCAGCACUUCUAGUAUAGUGCCUUAGCUUCUAGCUAAGGUCGCUGGUUCUGAUCCUGCCCAAGUUG